rnacentral:rRNA from 1 species
CUACGUAGGGUGCAAGCGUUAAUCGGAAUUACUGGGCGUAAAGCGUGCGCAGGCGGUUUUGUAAGACAGAGGUGAAAUCCCCGGGCUCCACCUGGGAACUGCCUUUGUGACUGCAAAGCUAGAGUACGGAAGAGGGGGAUGGAAUUCCGCGUGUAGCAGUGAGAUGCGUAGACAUGCGGAGGAACACCGAUGGCGAAGGCAAUCCCCUGGGCCUGUACUGACGCUCAUGCACGAAAGCGUGGGGAGCAAACAGGAUUAGAUACCCUGGUAGUCCACGCCCUAAACGAUGUCAACUGGUUGUUGGGUCUUCAUUGACUCAGUAACGAAGCUAACGCGUGAAGUUGACCGCCUGGGGAGUACGGCCGCAAGGUUGAAACUUAAAGGAAUUGACGGGG